GUCUUAUUUAUUAGAGUAAGAGUUAUCCCAUGUUUGGCUGAAACAAGGACUCACUUAAAUGAGACUAUGCAGUCCCCGAGUCUACCUCCGCACCUUCUUACAUAGUCUCCCCAAAUUUCACCGGACUGUGGAAGCAGGUCUUAUGCAACGCUAAAGUAUCGUUCUUCGCUUCAGCCUCAUCGUUCUCACUCACUCGUUUCCUUCGCUUCAGUCUUCUCCGGCUGCUCUUUUUCAGGAAGGAAACUACUCGGUAUUGGAGAAGUUCUAUGUACAUCGGCAAGGAUACAAGAACAGAUUUUCAAAAUCCAGGACCAGUCCACGACAAGCUGCUUCCCUGCAUUGUUCUUUCAGGCAUUUCUCUGCCCUUUGGAUUCCUAACAAGUACAAAAUGCUCCUAGCCACUUUUUGAUAAUAUAAAUUCAGUCUUAUCUUUUGUUUCAUUUUGUAAUUUAUGUUUUUGAUAUGUGGAGUUAAUGAAAUUGGUUCUGUUUUCGGAUGUAUGUGGAGGCUUUGAAAUGUGCAUUGUGGCUUGCUGCUUUGGCACACUUCUGGAAUAAUGAAGGUAUUACUGAUCAUAUCAGAUGAGGGAGAUGACUGUCCCAUGACCAAGCUGCCAGAAAUCAACUUUGAGGCUCUGUUUUGGUGCAAAACUCCUAGAGAAAUGAAGCUUAUUUUUAGGCUCAUGUUGUUAUUACGUUAGGAAACUUUCAUUAUGGAAGGGAGCUUGUCCUUAUCACCAAGGGUGGCACUCCUUUCUAAUCAAGCAAAAUUUACUUUGCUCACAAAGUAUGUAUUAGCUGAUCUUUUAGGAUGUGGCUCUCUAUCUUGCAGAGGCCAUUUUGACCCUUUAGGAUGUCCUGUAUGUCCGCAGUUUAUUAAUGAAAUGAUUUCCUAUAUGAUUCAAAAAAAAGUGUAAAACUACAUUAUAAAUAUUAUCUCUUAUUAAUAGAUAAUAUUUUGCUUUAAAAAAAAAUAUUGUGAUAUGCAAAAUUAAAUUAGUCCUAAACACCAACAAACAUGGGAUAUGACUAUUU